AAGUCCCAAAAGAAGAGAAAGGAGGCACAAACCAUAACCAUAGAGUAUAAAUAUGUAUAUGAAAAAUAUAGCAAGAUGAUUUGGGAGGAUGGUUUUCCUUUUGCAUUUUAAAUCUGACAGCACAACUUCCUAUGUGUAGCAGCCCUCACAGUGGCAUAUUUCAGAUGGCAUGCCACUUAGCUCUGAGGUGCUGAUUUCUUUGGGAGGAAGUUAUAAUCGAAACAGUUCUUGGAGCUACUCUACUUCUGUGUUUGCUAACAGGAGUUCAAAGAAGCCUUGCUCACCUAAUGGGAAGACAAAUGUCUUAAGAAUUAAGAGGAACUUUAUAGUCACCUUUUAGAGAUAACUGCAGGUUGCUUGCUUAGGAGAAGUUAAAAAGGGAGAACUGCCCUUCAAUGGUAACUGAAAGAGUGUUUGAACUUAAAAUGUGCUGUGCUUGAACUGCAAGAAGAGUGAAGGGCUUGCCAAGAAAACGGGCUGGCCUUUGGGUAUCUCAACCUAAAUUCAACAUUUUUAUUCAAAAACCAAUGUCUUAAAACAAUUACUCUGCCAAUCUGUAUCUACAACACCCAUAGUUAUCUUUCAACACCCAGAUGGGCAAUGCUGAAUUUAAUGUGACCUGUGACAUGGAUUUUUUUCUAUUCUUACUUAUCCUCCUUAAACAAUUAUAAUUGCUCCCUCAGGGAAUCAUUCAGGAUGUUCUUCAACAAUUUACCCCUAAAAAUGAUACACUGUUUUCAGACUUAAGUCUAACACAAUAAAAUGCAAUAUAAUGUAUAGCCGAAAAGACUUGCUGAUGAUUGAAGUAGGUUGUUUAAUGGAAAACUAUAACCCUAGAUUUCAAUCUCUCAUUGCUUUACUGUCUUUAGAAACUCAAUUUUUAUGAAACUUUCCUCAAUGCACUUUUUCCAUAUUUUUAUCUUCAUUUUUACAAGUUAACAUAAUCUAAUUAAUUAUUAUCAGACUUCUAAUAAAGACAACUUACUUUGUACUUUUGGCAUUUUAAUUAUAUAUAUAUAUAUGUGUGUGCUUAGUCAUUACCAGUGUCUAUACCCCAUAUGAUUUCCUUUCUGGUAUUGAUGAAGAAUAGGAAAGGUUAUCACUGAAUUUUUAAUACCUUGUUUUUUCCUUAUCUUCUACCUUUUCAACAGCAAAUGUAAAUAUUGUGGAAAUAGUUGAAAAGCUGAGUUGUCAAAUCUAUACAACUCUCCCAUAUCAAUGUGUUACACCUACUCCUUCUAUCUAGUUAAAGUGGAUGAGGCAAAUCCCCAAGAGAAAGAAAGGCAAUAUUGAAAGUAUGAAAUGAGUUCAAUAUAUGAAUGGAUAUUCUCUCAUUUUUAAAUUUUACAUUUUUGCUUAUAUCAGACAAAGAUGUUUAUGUUUUAAUACUAUCCAACUGUUGUUUGAGAUUUUAAUAUAAUUUCUGCAAACCUGUCACAACAUUACAUAUGUUGGAAACAGAAGUGAAAUCUCUAAUAUUUGAAAGCAGCAUUUUGUUGAAAGGUGAGGAGUGGAAUGGGGUGGAGAUUUUGAUAAAAGUUUAGAUAAUUAAAAUUUUUCUUUUAUCCAUGAUCCUAGGAUUUUAAAACAAAAUAAUUUAGUGACUUGGGAAUGUACAUAUAGAGUAGAGAUAUGCCAUUUGCCAAAAUGUGUAUAAGGAAACUUAAUAUAAAAAAUAUAUGGGAGGCAGAUAUCACAGCCAAAAACCUCAAAUUUAGAAAAAUUAUCAUAUUCUCACUUUCUCAAAGCAUAUUCAAUACAACUCCAAAACUCCUUUCCCCAAGGUAUUAGAAAACUCUAAUAUUACGGGUAUUAACCCUUGCUCUUCUUUCUGAAGGUGACACAAAACCCAAAGGAACCCAUAAAAUUGGAAGCGUCUCUAACAGUAAAGUUUUAGAGUCAAUGACAAUGUCUUAAACUAGAUGACGCGAGAAAAAGAAGUUCCACUCUUGCACAAGUAAACACACACUACAGCUCGAAGGAUUGGGAGAGCACUGUCAUUAUUUUGACUGGGAUUUAGAAUAUAUUUUGCUACAGAAAUGAUUAUAUUGUGAUCUCAUGAUAGCUCAUUUAAUAUGGAACCGUCCUAAAAUAUGAAACAAUAUCAUCCUUAUUAUCUUAUUUCCGUAUAAUAUGCAAAUCUCAGAAUUGGAGGAAACUACAUAAGUGUAUGUUCUUCCAAAUAUAUUAAAAUCUUGCAUCAAUAUUAAUCAAGUCUGAAGGACUCAAUUGUUGAACAAAUACUAGGAUAUCAAUGAGUCAAAAUAUUUUAUUGUUAUUUAGUUUUGAAUACCUAAGAUUAUAUGGGAUGUAACCAUUGUGUAAAUAUAUCCUCCUUUUGGUUUACAACAAAUUAUAAUAAACAGUGGAUUAAUAUUAGUAUGGAAUUGCUCCAUUAUAUUUGUUAUUAAUGUGUGUAUAUGUAAUACCAUAAACAUUUAUUUUAGGGUUAUUUUAGGGUCACAUUAAUAGGAAAAUUUAUUUAUCCCAAAUUCUUAAAAAAAAGUGUGUUUUUUACCUAAUUUAUCACUUUCUUUUUAGUUUCCUCUCAAGGGAUUCUUUUCUGUAUUAGACUUUUUUUGUUACUUGUUUGUUACAAGAAAUUGUCACUUUAAAGGAAAGCUUAAUGUUCAAAAUUCUCUAUUAAAAGUAAAUAUCAUUAUUGUUAAUUUGAAAUCAUGGAAAAAUAACAAUCAUUUCAAAUUGAACCCAGUGAUAGUUAAGUAUCUAGUCAUCUCUCCACAGAAAGCGUAUUUAUUAAAUCUUAGAGCAUCCAGAACAAAAGAAAGUCAUGCCUGAACACGUCUUGGCAGCAAAAUAAGCAAUUUAUUUCAACAUUAAAGAUAUUUUAGUUUCAGGUCUUAAUCAGUGAUUUCAUGCUAUCGCUAGAGAUGCCUGCCUGCAGGGCCACUGUCAUCAUGCCCAACAAAACAGAAAAAUAGAAAAUAUCAUGCAUUUCUACUCUUCACCUAAUUCUUUUCUUAUGUCUACUUUUGUUUAUUUUUCUGGAUUUCCCAGUAAUUAUAUUUUUUGAAUCCCUAGUCAUCUGUCCUCUUGCACUUUUGCCUCUGUAUUUUUUUCUUAGAAAGCUAAAAUUUUUGAAAUAUUUUCCCCUCAAACAUUUGAUUUUCAAUUGUAUGCUCACUGCUUCCUCAGGUCUCACAUUUCACUUACCUUUACAAUAUCAUUUAAAAUGUGUGUUAAGUUUUUUCUUAAUAUUUUUCAUUUCUAGACAACCUAAGUAUCAUUAAGCAUUCGGGCUUUUAGAAAUCUUAUUAUGUUAAAUGCAUAAUGGAAGAAAUAAUCUACAGAAAAUUUUGCAUGUAUGUAUGGCUAAGUUUUUCCUGGUGAACAAUUUAAAAGUUUUUGACAUAUAUUAUAAAAAUUCCUGCAUGGAAUUUGUGUCAAUUUACAUAGCUUAAUUUGGGUCCAAUUUACAUAGCUUAAAACUGAUAUAAUUUGUGUAUUUGUAAAUUUGUUGGGCAAAUUAUUGUGGUAUCAUAUUGUUUCAACUUGCAUUCCUGAAAAUACUACUGGUUUGAAUAGUUUUCCUUACAUUUUAUUUUAUUUUUUAAAUACUCAAUGAAUUUUAUUAUGUUUAUAGUUGUACAGUCAUCAUCACAACCCAAUUUUACAACAUCCCUUUUAUUUUAUAUACAAAGGAUAGCCAAGAACAUCAGCAGUUCUGAUGUUCUGAUGUUCUGAUGUUCUGUUCUGUUCAGUUUGUUUCUUAUACAAAGAGGGUAAAAGUAGGGUCAGGGUAACUCAGUUAUACAAUUGUGAAUUAUACUUAAAACAAGGCUAGUUCUGAGUUCAUUUCUGCUCGAUGGAUUUCCUAACUUAUUAAAAAUACUUUAUUUUACUUAAAUUAAUAUGACAUUGUGUUCUACCAAAAUUUGCAUCUGCUCCUACAUUGUGAUCUUGCUUGGCAAUUUCAAGUUAUCUUGCCCAGCUUGGCGAUUUCAAGUUCUCCUGCAGCUACGUAUAUUCAUAUUUUCUCUGUUUCCAAUCAUGUUGAUGAAAUACAAUGUAAUCUGUUUAUUUCAUGUUCUUAAAUAGUACAAAACCUAAAGGAUUUGCAGUGGAUCGUAUCAGUUUCCAUUUCUUUUAUUAUUAAAGUAUCAACUCAGCAUGGACUGAGCAGAUCAUGGCCCUCUGCCACCUCACCAGACUAUGAGAGAAUUCCUCCCUCCACUCCUUGGCUCUGCUGAAGCUCUGUGUUUGGAGCUUUAGCUUCCCCAGUAGCUACCAGAAGGGCUGGAGAACACAAUACAGAAAUGCAGAGGCUUAGUACUCAUUCUAGAAGACAAAAUUGACCACUGAGAACCAGGAGUCAACAGGAGCUGGCAAUUAACUGCUUCUCACUUACUGUGAAGACUGCUCUGAGUUGUAGUGAUCCCCUCACUUGGCUGUGCGUUCUCAGGGACCAGUUGCUAACUCAGUAGUGCACUAACUACCUAGAAGUUUCUUCCCUUUCUUUUAACUCACUACCCCUCCUCCCUCAUCUCUUUUUGCUUUGAGUCCAUACUCCCCAUAUGUUGUAAGGUUUACAGAAUCUAUCCUCAAGGUUUCUCAGGCUAUGAUACUUGAUCACAUCAUAAUUACUCCUUUGCAUAUUCCUCAACUCUUUUAUUUCCUCUAACAUUAGCACCCUAUAUUUGCAAAAUUGCAACCCUCAUUAAAUCCAAUUCUCUCAACCCUAAACCUAAACCUGUGCCACUACAUAUAGGUGGCAAAUACAGGAAACAAUUUUCAAUUUAAAUUUUAAAUGUGUGUCCAUGAACCUAAUUAGGAAUCACAAAUCCUACCUUUGCAUCUAUUAUGACUUAUUACGAGGAUGAUCUUAUUUAAAUUCAGUUGCCCUGUGUAUAGACUAAAUCUCAUUCUUCCCUACUUACUUGCAGACAUUGCUUCAGCAAAGUUCUCUCUAUUUCUUACAUCAUAAUUAUUUUUUAUAAGCCUUCUUGAUGUUUUCCAUAGCAUACAAACAUUUUAAUGUUCCAUCUUAAAAGCAAUAGACACAAAAAACACUUUUUGACCCUUUUUAUUCUCUAGAUAUGAUCUUGUUUAUUCUCUUUCAAUAUAAAAAUCUCAAGAAUUGUCUCUAACACCUGUUCUGACACUCCCUCUUUAAUUUUUUCCAAUUAGAUUUAUCCUCUACCUUUCAACCUUUCAACUAGUAAGGCUCUCUGAGUUAUGACAGAACUCAUUUAUAAUUCACAUGGAAUCAUUUUAUUGAACAAGUUAGAUUUCAUUUUUAGUGCCAGUUUAUGUCAAAUAUUACUUCCAGUUACAUCCCGUAAUCUCUGUGAGGUUUUAACUAUGAUUAACUCCAAAUUACCAUUUCUUAAUGAAGGCAAAUUAGUCUUUAGAACUUGACACAUGCAGACUCAAUAAACGGGUUUCAACUGAAUGCAAAAGGCAGAAGGCAAAUUGUAGUAGCAAUAAAUCAAUUGAUAGAAUUACAACUCCAAGUCAAUUAAGGUCAAAUAGUAACCUACUUAAAUUUGCGUAGAGGUUAAUAGGCUUCUUAUCUAGAAAUUAUCUCUUAAGAUAAAAAGACUAAUUUUAUAUGAGAGAAGCUGAGUCUAACCUGCCUGAACAUUUUUCUCAUCUUCUCCUUCCCUUCCCCUCUCUCUUCCUUCCCCUCUCCCUUCUUUCCUUCUCUCCUUCCUUUACCUAUUUUAUAUUUAUAGAGUGGUUAAAUACAAAAACUCUAGAGCUAGAAACCUUUGGUUACAUUCUUGUAUAAAUAUUUACAAUUUGAUCUUGGACAAAUUGUGAAUUUUCUUGUUCCUCAGUUUCAUGAUACGCUAUUUAACUAUGAUAACUUUCUCAAGAGUUUGUUAGGAUUUUAGUAUUAAUGAAAAUAAGGAGCAAAGCAAAAAGCUUGGCACAUAGUAAUUGAACAGUUCAUGGUAACUAAAACAUUUUACCACAAGUAAAUAGUAUCUGGAUGUCCUUAUACAUUUUUAUCAUUUGCAUGUAGAUCAUUACUUUAAAUGAUAUAAUAAGUAUUAUACAUUAAAUAGUUCAUGUUGCUUUAAUUUACUCAGUCUUUUAUUUUUUCAAAAUUUUGGACCUUAACAAAUCCUCUUUACAACAAAAUGAUGCUGAAAAAAUUAAAUAAACCAGAGUAAUAAGAUUUCAGUUUUAUUUAUAUUUUAAUAUGAUGAUCAUAUAAAUAAAUGAUUUAUUAUAAACUGGUAUAAUAUGAUAAUCAUAUAAUUAUGAUUUAUAUAAUUAUCAUAUUACAUAUCUAAUUAUAAUAAGUACAAGUACUUACAGUGUGAUGAAAACUAUUUUAGGUGUUUUAAAUGGCUUUUCUAAUUAAAUCCUCACAACAGUACUAUGAAGACAAUAUUAAACACACUGCUUGAGGAUAUAUAGGUGUUACAUAAACUUUUUUGAAAUAAUUUUAUAUGCUUUAUUAUCUUUACAUAUGUAUAUAAUAUUUUAAAAUACCAUCUCCACUUAAAAUUUUUCUUAGCAUACUUCAUUGCAUUGUGUGCAUAUAAAUUCUAAAAUAAAUUCCUGAAUUUUACUUAGCUCACAGAUGUUCUUUUCAAAUAUGGUUUUGUGUAGUAUUCAAAAAUAGGCGAAAGAGUAAUCGUCAAUGGCCCCUACAUAGCUAGAUUGUAUUUAUUAUGCUCUUACUAUGUGUUAGGCACUCUGUUAAAAAUUCUGCCCAUCCUUUCCUCCUCACUCCUGCCAAAGCUCUGUGAAAUAAGUCUUGUUAUUUCCAUUU
rnacentral:lncRNA from 1 species